rnacentral:rRNA from 1 species
UACGUAGGGUGCGAGCGUUUGUCCGGAAUUAUUGGGCGUAAAGGGCUCGUAGGCGGUUUGUCGCGUCGGGAGUGAAAACCCAGGGCUUAACCCUGGGCUGGCUUCCGAUACGGGCAGACUAGAGGUAUGCAGGGGGAGAACGGAAUUCCUGGUGUAGCGGUGAAAUGCGCAGAUAUCUGGAGGAACACCGGUGGCGAAGGCGGCAUCCUGGACCGGUAUUGACGCUGAGGCGCGAAAGCCAGGGGAGCAAACGGG